GACGAACGCUGGCGGCGCGCCUAACACAUGCAAGUCGAACGGAGCUGUUUUCUCUGAAGUUUUCGGAUGGAAGAGAGUUCAGCUUAGUGGCGAACGGGUGAGUAACACGUGAGCAACCUGCCUUUCAGUGGGGGACAACAUUUGGAAACGAAUGCUAAUACCGCAUAAGACCACAGUGUCGCAUGGCACAGGGGUCAAAGGAUUUAUCCGCUGAAAGAUGGGCUCGCGUCCGAUUAGCUAGAUGGUGAGGUAACGGCCCACCAUGGCGACGAUCGGUAGCCGGACUGAGAGGUUGAACGGCCACAUUGGGACUGAGACACGGCCCAGACUCCUACGGGAGGCAGCAGUGGGGAAUAUUGCACAAUGGGGGAAACCCUGAUGCAGCGACGCCGCGUGGAGGAAGAAGGUCUUCGGAUUGUAAACUCCUGUCCCAGGGGACGAUAAUGACGGUACCCUGGGAGGAAGCACCGGCUAACUACGUGCCAGCAGCCGCGGUAAAACGUAGGGUGCAAGCGUUGUCCGGAAUUACUGGGUGUAAAGGGAGCGCAGGCGGAUUGGCAAGUUGGGAGUGAAAUCUAUGGGCUCAACCCAUAAAUUGCUUUCAAAACUGUCAGUCUUGAGUGGUGUAGAGGUAGGCGGAAUUCCCGGUGUAGCGGUGGAAUGCGUAGAUAUCGGGAGGAACACCAGUGGCGAAGGCGGCCUACUGGGCACUAACUGACGCUGAG
rnacentral:rRNA from 1 species